rnacentral:rRNA from 1 species
AUUGAACGCUGGCGGCAGGCCUAACACAUGCAAGUCGAACGAGUGGCGGACGGGUGAGUAAUGUCUGGGAAACUGCCUUAUGGAGGGGGAUAACUACUGGAACCGGUAGCUAAUACCGCAUACCAUCAGAUUUUCCCAGAGGGGAUUAUCUAGUUGGUGGGGGAACGGCUCACCAGGGCCACGAUCCCUAGCUGGUCUGAGAGGAUGACCAGCCACACUGGAACUGAGACACGGUCCAGACUCCUACGGGAGGCAGCAGUGGGGAAUAUUGCACAAGGGGCGCAAGCCUGAUGCAGCCAUGCCGCGUGUAUGAAGAAGGCCUGCGGGUGGUAAAGUACUUUCAGCGGGGAGGCGUUACCCGCAGAAGAAGCACCGGCUAACUCCGUGCCAGCAGCCGCGGUAAUUC